rnacentral:rRNA from 1 species
AUUGAACGCUGGCGGCAGGCUUAACACAUGCAAGUCGAGCGGGGUGAUGGUGCUUGCACUAUCACUUAGCGGCGGACGGGUGAGUAAUGCUUAGGAAUCUGCCUAUUAGUGGGGGACAACAUCUCGAAAGGGAUGCUAAUACCGCAUACGUCCUACGGGGGAAAGAAGGGGAUCACUUGUGACCUUGCGCUAAUAGAUGAGCAUAAGGCGGAUUAGCUAGUUGGUGGGGUAAAGGCCUACCAAGGCGACGAUCUGUAGCGGGUCUGAGAGGAUGAUCCGCCACACUGGGACUGAGACACGGCCCAGACUCCUACGGGAGGCAGCAGUGGGGAAUAUUGGACAAUGGGGGGAACCCUGAUCCAGCCAUGCCGCGUGUGUGAAGAGGCCUUAUGGUUGUAAAGCACUUUAAGCGAGGAGGAGGCUCUUUUGGUUAAUACCCAGAAUGAGUGGACGUUACUCGCAGAAUAAGCACCGGCUAACUCUGUGCCAGCCGCCGCGGUAA